rnacentral:lncRNA from 1 species
CUGCUGCCUUGGACCCUCAGGGACCCUCAUGGGUCACAGGCCCCUUUGGUCAGGCCUGGCUGCCCCUCCUGAGGGGUGCCCUGCAUGGACGCCAUCUCCCGUCACCGUGCUGGCCGCUGUGCGGUGCUUCUGCUCCCUCUGAGCUCUCCAAAAGGGGUGUUUUGUCCUCGUAAAGUUGCCUGCAGACGACCAGGGAGGGGCAUUUUCUGUGCUGGCGGCCGCUCUCCCUCUCCUCUGGUGCCCUCACCCCAGGUCCCUGUUUUCUCUGAGUUCUCUGCCGGGAAGGAGGGUUUCAGGGAAGUAGAAUACGGUGCUGAAAGACAGGUUUACUGCUCAAGAUUGCUGAGAGCGUCAAGUCACGAGGAGGAAGAUGGAGGGCCCUUCCGAGUCACAGGGGCGCGCGUGCAUGCGUGCGUGUGCAUGUGUGCAGCAUGCGUGCGUGCGUGCGGCAUGCGUGUGCGUGCGUGUGUGCAGCAUGCGUGCGUGCGGCAUACGUGUGCGUGCAUGCGUGCGUGCAUGCGUGCACGUGUGUGCGUGCACGUGUGCGUGUGUGUGCGUGUGCGUGCGUGUGCAUGUGUGUGUGCGUGUGUGCAUGUGUGCAUGUGUGUGCGCCUGCGUGUGUGUGCAUGUGUGCAUGUGUGUGCGCACGUGUGAUUCCUGGGUGUCCCAACAACUGAGAGAGAAGUUUCCAGGUCCCCUUUGGUUGUCAAAACAAAAGUGCUUUAAAAUGCGAAGCUGAGGACACACCUGCAGCCUUGAGAGGCAGAGCAGGCGGUGCGGCCGUGGUGAUUAGCCGUGACAUGACUCCGUGAUGGAUUAGUUUAGGGCUUCUGGCUGUGAAAAUAAAAAAGCCUCAGAG